GCUAAAGCCACAUUGAAGUUAUUGCAUCCGCAAUGUCGAAGGUUUUUGGGAUAAGUAUUACCACUUUUUUUGGCAUAUUUGCUUUUGUUCUUUUCACAAUGCUCGGAGCAUGUGAGUCCUCGGAUCUUCUUCCACAUCACAAUACUAAAAUUGAGGGGAGGAUGCUGAAAUGGGUCAAGAGUCGCACUACUACCCGUCGAACAACUACAACAAAACGUCGAGAGAGGUUGAUCUGAGGAGACAGAAGACAGUGGUCGGUGAAGCCAGGCAGACGCAAUCUCGGCCACAUUUUCCCUCAGAAAGACGCGGAGAAUUAUUUAAAAUGGUACCUUCACAGAAUGCAGGAAUGUGUUGUCCUUGUUCUAAUCAAUGCGGGUUGGAACAUGACGAAGAAUAUCAGAAGAAUUAAAGAUAACAGAAGAAUUUAAAAAUGCGCAUCCAUUAUUUAGCAAGAUAUUGUCAAUGACCCGCCGUGGUUGCUCAGUGGCUGUGUUGUUGGGCUGCUGAGCACGAGGUCGCGAGAUCGAAUCUCGGCCACGACGGCCGCAUUUCGAUGGGGGCGAUAUUGCUGUCUCAUUACCAACACAUUGAUAAACUGCUUGUUACUGCUGCUGUAUCAACUAUAGUGGCAAUGGCAUUUAUAAAAAAGACAUAAGAUAUCCGUUCUAUGUGGUAAAAUGAUAUGUAAAGUGCGAAUGCAACGAAUUUUUCCUGGAAGCUGUUGUCAAUAAUUAUCUCUGUUCUUGCUGAUAUGCUGCUGAUGUGUUCAUUUCUUGGUGCAUUGCUGUUGCUGUUUAUGCUUUGUUUGUCUUGAUCCUUUUUUUUGUGAUGCAUGGAUUCUUAGCCUACCAGAGAAGAUACCAUUUUGAGCUUAUAUAAAUCUUGCUGUCGUUGACUUGGUAGAAUACCUGCAUUGUAAUCCACUCCCCUUAACUUGCUGUACAAGUGUGACAGUAUUCGUGAUUAAAUAAAGGAAUCUUCCACAGAGCGCAAGAAAACGUAUAAAAAAUUUGGUAGAACAUGAUCCAUGUUAUGGCAUUUACAUGCAUGUGCAAAAU